rnacentral:lncRNA from 1 species
CCGGUCUGAAGGUCGGCCCGGAAGUCGGCCCAGGGAUCUGAGGUCCCCAGGAUCUGAGGUUCCACAGGAAACGGCUGCGUGUCCCUAGGAUGGUGAUGGGGCCACCGCCAGGCCAUGACAGUAUGUGCGUGACCUCAGUGCUUCUCCGUGGCCAGCACAAGAAGAAAGCUUUGUUUAUGGCUACAACACAGACCUGACCACAUGGGGCGCCCAGACCACGGCCUCCAAGCCUCACCUCGUGGGGAGCGAGGGCUCAGCCUGUGCCCGGCCAGACCACCCCUCUGACAACAUGCUGUUUUUCGAAGAGACAGUGCAGGGUCAUCUGUGAUGCUUCCUCCCUGGAGUCCUCUGCCAUGGAAAGGGAGGAUCAGAGUGAGUUCCCGUGAUCAUUUCCCUGGCUGUGGUGGGCCCCCCCACAAACCCUGACUUCGGCUAGGAAUCUCCUUGCAAAACAUGAACGGGGUGUAAGAGCUGAGUGGGAGCCCGGGGAGCCUACACGCACACCUCACCUGGAGGGCCCAGCAAGCUUGCCCUCACCACAUGGCCACUGUGGGCAGAUGAGUGAAGCCUGAGCUUUGGCUCAGCCCACCUCAGCCCAUUUCCCCUCCUCUUCCCUUCCUCAUUCUGUCCCUACUCCCCCUUCCCCCUCCCCCUUCCCUCCCUUCCCCCUUCCCCCUCCCCUCCCCCUCCUCCUCGCCUAGCCACAGUGAUGCCUGCCAUGGCUAUGGGGACGAACCUGCAGGGCAGCCCCGAAAAGCCGCUGUAAACUGUCUGCCACCCUGCACCCGGGAGAGGGCCUUGUAUUCUUCAGUGAGAACCCUUAAGAGAGGCAGCUGUCAAGACACUUGUGACUGCACAGAGCCUCCUGACCUGACAGCUGGGCUGAAUGACUGGCCACCUCUUGUCUGUGCCCACACAUCAACUGCCACAUUCAGCUUGUGAGACCAGAUUCCUUCCAGCCGUAGACCCAUCCCCACAAUCUGCCUCAUCUCAAAGUUCUGAGUCCCCCCGUAUUCCAGGGGUCAGACUACAUGACUGACAGGCUUCUGAAACAUGAAGACCUUUCUUGCAGAGAGCUCAAAGAGGGUCAUAAUCAGAUGGAUGACAAGUAAGACUACAGUGAGAGGGAGCUGCAUGAGAACACACCCUAAAUUAGUUUCAGCUUUCCUGCAAAUCCUUAUAUAUUCCUUCUGUUGAUCAACUGAAAACCCAAAAUCAAUCUAAUUCAAUUCUGAAACUGAACAUGGAGCCAGACGUUGUAUAGGUGCCUGGGACCGGUAGUGAAUAAAAGACAUUUCCUAUGUCCUUGAGAGAUUUAG